UAGGGAGUCUUCCACAAUGGGCGCAAGCCUGAUGGAGCAACACCGCGUGAGUGAAGAAGGGUUUCGGCUCGUAAAGCUCUGUUGUUAAAGAAGAACACGUAUGAGAGUAACUGUUCAUACGUUGACGGUAUUUAACCAGAAAGUCACGGCUAACUACGUGCCAC
rnacentral:rRNA from 1 species